AUUGAACGCUGGCGGCAGGCCUAACACAUGCAAGUCGAACGGUAACAGGAAGAAGCUUGCUUCUUUGCUUACGAGUGGCGGACGGGUGAGUAAUGUCUGGGAAACUGCCUGAUGGAGGGGGAUAACUACUGGAAACGGUAGCUAAUACCGCAUAACGUCGCAAGACCAAAGAGGGGGACCUUCGGGCCUCUUGCCAUCGGAUGUGCCCAGAUGGGAUUAGCUAGUAGGUGGGGUAACGGCUCACCUAGGCGACGAUCCCUAGCUGGUCUGAGAGGAUGACCAGCCACACUGGAACUGAGACACGGUCCAGACUCCUACGGGAGGCAGCAGUGGGGAAUAUUGCACAAUGGGCGCAAGCCUGAUGCAGCCAUGCCGCGUGUAUGAAGAAGGCCUUCGGGUUGUAAAGUACUUUCAGCGGGGAGGAAGGGAGUAAAGUUAAUACCUUUACUCAUUGACGUUACCCGCAGAAGAAGCACCGGCUAACUCCGUG
rnacentral:rRNA from 1 species